UACGUAGGGGGCGAGCGUUGUCCGGAAUCAUUGGGCGUAAAGCGCGUGUGGGCGGCCCGGUAAGUCCGCUGUGAAAAUCCGGGGCUCAACCCCGGACUUGCAGUGGGUACGGGCAGACUAGAGUGUGGUAGGGGAGACUGGAAUUCCUGGUGUAGCGGUGAAAUGCGCAGAUAUCAGGAGGAACACCGGUGGCGAAGGCGGGUCUCUGGGCCGAUACUGACGCUGAGGAGCGAAAGCGUGGGGAGCGAACAGG
rnacentral:rRNA from 1 species